GACGAACGCUGGCGGCGUGCUUAACACAUGCAAGUCGAGCGGUAAGGCCCUUUCGGGGGUACACGAGCGGCGAACGGGUGAGUAACACGUGGGUGACCUGCCCUCAGCUCUGGGAUAAGCCUGGGAAACCGGGUCUAAUACCGGAUAUGACUCCAUGACGCAUGUUGUGGGGUGGAAAGCCUUGUGCGGCUGAGGAUGGGCCCGCGGCCUAUCAGCUUGUUGGUGGGGUGAUGGCCUACCAAGGCGACGACGGGUAGCCGGCCUGAGAGGGCGACCGGCCACACUGGGACUGAGACACGGCCCAGACUCCUACGGGAGGCAGCAGUGGGGAAUCUUGCGCAAUGGGCGAAAGCCUGACGCAGCAACGCCGCGUGGGGAUGAAUGCCUUC
rnacentral:rRNA from 1 species